rnacentral:tRNA from 1 species
UGGCUCAGUGGUAGAGCACUUGCCUUACAUGCCUGAGGCCCUGGGUUCGAUUCCCCAG